rnacentral:rRNA from 1 species
UACGUAGGGUGCAAGCGUUGUUCGGAAUUACUGGGCGUAAAGCGCACGUAGGCGGAUCGUUAAGUCAGGGGUGAAAUCCCGAGGCUCAACCUCGGAACUGCCUUUGAUACUGGCAAUCUCGAGUCCGGAAGAGGUGAGUGGAAUUCCUAGUGUAGAGGUGAAAUUCGUAGAUAUUAGGAAGAACACCAGUGGCGAAGGCGGCUCACUGGUCCGGUACUGACGCUGAGGUGCGAAAGCGUGGGGAGCAAACAGG